GCACAAGCGGUGGAGUAUGUGGUUUAAUUCGAUGCAACGCGAAGAACCUUACCUGGUCUUGACAUCCCGGAGACCCUUAGGAAACUAGGGGGUGCUUCCAUCUGGAAGAAUCUGGAGACAGGUGCUGCAUGGCUGUCGUCAGCUCGUGUCGUGAGAUGUUGGGUUAAGUCCCGCAACGAGCGCAACCCUUGCCUUUAGUUGCCAGCAGUUCGGCUGGGCACUCUAAAGGGACUGCCGGUGUUAAACCGGAGGAAGGUGGGGAUGACGUCAAGUCCUCAUGGCCUUUAUGACCAGGGCUACACACGUACUACAAUGGCCGAUACAAAGGGCAGCGACACUGCGAGGUGAAGCCAAUCCCGUAAAAUCGGUACUCAGUCCGGAUUGGAGUCUGCAACUCGACUCCAUGAAGUUGGAAUCGCUAGUAAUCGUGGAUCAGCAUGCCACGGUGAAUACGUUCCCGGGCCUU
rnacentral:rRNA from 1 species